AUUGAACGCUGGCGGCAUGCUUUACACAUGCAAGUCGAACGGCAGCGCGGGGCAACCUGGCGGCGAGUGGCGAACGGGUGAGUAAUAUAUCGGAACGUACCCAGAAGUGGGGGAUAACGUAGCGAAAGUUACGCUAAUACCGCAUACGAUCUACGGAUGAAAGUAGGGGACCGCAAGGCCUUAUGCUUUUGGAGCGGCCGAUAUCUGAUUAGCUAGUUGGUGAGGUAAAGGCUCACCAAGGCGACGAUCAGUAGCUGGUCUGAAAGGACGACCAGCCACACUGGAACUGAGACACGGUCCAGACUCCUACGGGAGGCAGCAGUGGGGAAUUUUGGACAAUGGGCGCAAGCCUGAUCCAGCAAUGCCGCGUGAGUGAAGAAGGCCUUCGGGUUGUAAAGCUCUUUUGUCAGGGAAGAAACGGUAGAGGCUAAUAUCCUUUGCUAAUGACGGUACCUGAAGAAUAAGCACCGGCUAACUACGUG
rnacentral:rRNA from 1 species